rnacentral:rRNA from 1 species
ACGCCUCGGGUUUCUGUCGCCCCGUCUCACUUCACUCUCUCUCCCUUUCAUCUCUCGCACACGAGCAGCCGCCGUUCCUCUCCGCCUCCCUCCUCUACCACACGGACUGCCCUCCCUUGUGCUAGCCUCUCACGGCCAUGAAGGGCGGCGAGCUCGCCGUUCCCGUCAUCGGGAGAGAGCGACCGAUGGACCUAGAGCAUCCCCGUCAACGGGAGGAGCGCCGGAACCGACGGCGUCCCUCCGGCGACCGGAUCGGCUCGCUCGCCCGCUACUGUGCCGCCUCAACCCCAAGUCCGGCGGCCUCCUCUCCCUCCAGCGCUGCUGCUCCACCCUCUCCGGCGCCCCUCACCUUAUAUCCCAAGGGAGGGGAGGGGAGGGAAGGGAAUGGCCCAUAUUGAGGAUCGAGGGAUGAGGUGAGGCAGCGCCUAGAUCUACGGCGGCAUCGACGCGCCGUCGUCGACCUGAGCCGCCACUGUCCUCGAGGUCAACCAUGGAGUGGGGUCUAACCCGUCUACAACCAUGGAUGGAGACGCUCCAAACCCUAGCAUGGGGACCGAGCCGCCAUGGAUGUUCGAAUGAGGCAGGAGGCCAGCGGCCAGGACGACGCCAUGGUAUGACCCUGCUUUGCUCCUUCCCCACCAUGACCACACCAUGGAAGCAGCAGCAAGGUUCCUUGGUGGGUACAGCAGCAGCAGAAAGAGGACACCAUGGUGGGUACAGCGGCAGAAGCAGCAGCUCGAUGGACGCAUGGACGCCACCAUGGAAGCUGCGGGGAUGGAGGCGGCAUUCGGGUCUGGAGAUGGCAUGAGAAGCAGAGCUCUUUCUGCCACUAUCUCUACAAAGAAAGUGUAGUCUGCAAGCUUAUCAAAUCUGGGUACUGUUUGUAGAAGUGCAGCACCAUGCAUCAGGAAAUAUAUCCGUGCUUGGUAGUUUGAGACUACUGGUGUGAAGAUCUUGCUCCAAAUUCACAUGAUCUAAUUAGUGUUCUAUACAGAGUAACACUUUUGGGCUUUGGGUUGCCGCUGGAUCCGGACAAGAUAAGGCUUGCCUUACCUGGUGAAGUACUGGCUAGGAAGAGUGCAAGCUGCCGCCCACACAUACCAGAUGGUCCCGUCAAGGACGUUGUUGUACUGACUGCCGAUGAUCUACAGCUCAAGCCAUUUUUGUCGUUGUAUGACAAGGCUGUCGAUGUCAUCACUGAGCUGCCUUCUUUGCUUCAGAGGCUUAUUGUGCUGCUAUAGUUCUUUGUCUCUUAUCCACUCACCCAUUGUAGUGCAGCAAUUGCAAGCUCCACAUUCCCAUGGCUGCUCAUCCUCCGUAACUUUCUCUAGCUGAGCUCACGCCACCACUGCGGCACAACUCUCUUGUAGCUAUCGGGUGACCGCGUGUGUCGUUGCCACCACUAGCGAGAUCUGGGAGAAAGAGGAGGCAAAGAGGGAGAUGGAGCGGCAAGAAUAAAGGUAAAGGAAGGAGGAAGAGGAGACACCCUAAGCAUGCCGGUGACCUCCAGGCCCGCUACUACGACUUCUCCAAGCAACACCAAUCUACAACAGCAAGUGUCUCGAGCAAGAUGACCAAGUGUUGGUGGGUGGGCAUCAACAAGGUGGGCUGUCAGCACGGUGUUCGAGUUGGUCAGUAGUGGUGCACCUGCGCCAUGUAUGGAUCAAUACUCUAGGAGGUUCUGUCGAGGCCCAAUCCAUCCAGUUCAGAGCCAUUGUCAAAUUGAAUAACAACCGCCUUUUGGUCUUGGCCCAUAACCAGCCGUGAAAGACGAGAUGUUUAUGCUGCCCUUCUACCUUCCUCCCUGUCCCUACUUUUCCCCAUCGCGUGUUGGGCCCUCUGAAGUAAAAUAAACAUGAAACUACAUGCUAAAAAGUGGGUGAUAAAUAUCUAGUUACUAAAUUCACUAAAUUUGUGAUCCCAAAACUGUGAGCAAAAUAGUGAAAUGUCAGGGUUUACUCUACUGCAAAUUUGCAAUUUACUUGAACUUUGUUGUGAUGAGCAAUUCAGUUUCUUUGGGCAAAACGCCUGGCUAAACAAAUAAAUGCAUGUGCUUUUCAUGUUUUGUUCCCAGUAAGAAGCUGAUUCUGUAUCUUAUGUACUUGUUGUGAGCUACUUUUAACUCUGAUAAAGAAUGUACAUUGGAUUGUUGCUUGCUGGUGUUCUUACGUCUUUCAUCUGAUGCUUUGUUACCGGGUUGGGAGUGAUCGCACUUCAACUUCUGUACGCUGUAUUUUCUGUUGGAUGUGUCAUGUCAUCAUUUCUAUUGGUCUACGUUAUGCCUAAGACUUAAGUUAUCUAUGCAGAGUUGCAAAUUGUCUGUAAGCUACUACGUGUUGUCGUGUUUUCUACGCCUAAGAUAGUUGGUGUUAAACCUAUCGCAAAACAUGCUUUCUAUGUUCAUGCAUUGUUAAGAGGC